GAGAAGCUCCACGUUCAGAGCAGCACUACAACAACCUCCCUGACCAUCUGUGAGACAGUCUGCUGAAGCUAAGACCUGACGGUGUGAUCACUGAAACCAUGCUGAAGGUAGCACUUGUUCUUGGAUGCCUCCUGAGCCUCGCUCUGGCCAAUCCUAUGGAUGGGGGGCACAAACGACUUGCCCGUUCAGACUCUAAUUCUGAUUCCAACUCUAAUGAGGCUACCACUACAACUGCUACUACAACUACUGCUGCUGGUGCCACUACCACCUUGUCUGCAGCACAAAUUCAAACACUCCUCCAGGCUAUUCUUGCCCUCUUACAAGGAUAAUAAUCAUGAGUUAUGGAGCACUUGUCAAAUUCCAAGUUUGUUAAAGUGCUUUACUAGCCAGAAAAAUCAAAUGGACAAGUCAUAAAAUUGUCAGGUUGACAAAGAAAAAACACAAUUCAGUGGAUGACAACCAGUGUUGGAAAAGGUAAAAACAUGUUUGAGAGAAAUCAAAGACAGUUCAAAGAAACUAAAUCUCAUGUAAUAUCAGGAAAGUAUGUUUUCAGAAGUAAACAGUAACAUCUUAAAAUGUGUUCUUAAACACACCUCCUGUUUCCUACUGCUGCUACAACUACUACAGCAGCAACGACUACAACAGCUGCUCCAUUCUAAUGUCUGAAAUGUAACCAGGAACCAAUAAGUGAAUGAAAACCAGUUUUAAGUGGAUUUACAAUGUCAGCUCUAUUUCCUGUUGGUUUAAAUGUUUCUUGAGAAUUUGUUCUGAUUUUCUCCUCUAAAAUUUAAAUCAUGUUGUUUUCACCUGACCACACUGCCAAAUAAAGUUCAUAAAUGUAAAA